rnacentral:rRNA from 1 species
UACGGGGGGGGCAAGCGUUGUUCGGAAUUACUGGGCGUAAAGGGUUCGUAGGUGGCCGACUAAGUCAGACGUGAAAUCCCUCAGCUUAACUGGGGAACUGCGUCUGAUACUGGUUGGCUUGAGUGCAGGAGAGGAACGCGGAAUUCCAGGUGUAGCGGUGAAAUGCGUAGAUAUCUGGAGGAACACCGGUGGCGAAGGCGGCAUCCUGGACCGGUAUUGACGCUGAGGCGCGAAAGCCAGGGGAGCAAACGGG